AGAGGCUGUCCUGAGCUCUGUAGGGUGUGGGAUCUGAGGUAUAAUACCUCUUUCAGUCCCAAUCCCAUCGAAGAUAAAAUGUAUGUGGCCUGGGUACAAGAUCACGUCAUUAUGCCACAUGUGUCAUGUGGAGUGUGGGAGCAGCAUGUACCAUAUUACGCAAGGCUGCAUUAUGAAGACUAGACUACGUGGUGGGAGUUGUGCUGAUAGCAAGUGGGGGAAGGUUGUGCUGCCCCUUUACUCAGUACUGGUAGGUUUGGAGUGCUGUGACCAUUUCUGGGCUCCCCAGUGCAAGACAGAUGUAGACAUGCUGGAUUGAGUCUAAUAAAUGGAUGUGAAGGUUGAGUAUUUGGACCACCUAACGUCUGCUGCUCUUCAGUAUGGAAAAGAGAAGGCUUGGAGAGAUGUUAUCAAAACAUUUAAAUACCUGACGGGAGGAUGAAAAGAUGAAUCCAGACUCAAGCUUGUGAUAUCCAACAAAGGGGAAGAGUCAGUGGGCAAAACUGGGAUAACAGAUUCUGUUUAAGCAGGAAAAAAAAAAAGAGGGUGACCAAAUGCUGGAGUAGAUGGCCUAGUGAGCAAGCGGAACAGUGCUGGAAAUGCUCAAAAUCCAAAUUGAUGAUGCAGCAUACUUUGAUCUUGUUUUGAGCUGGGUUUGUGUAUUAGACAUUUCCAGGCAUCCCUUCCAGCUGACUGAUAAAACAAGUCAGUAGAGUCAAUAUCUUUAGUACAGAAUUAACACUAAUUUACUAGAGCACGUGUAACGACUGCAUGGAAAGUCACAUUAAUGUUUGUAGUAUCUACAUUGUCAUCUCUUCAUUCUGCUUGAUUUAGUUUGAACUUUUUAUAGUUUCCAAGUAUCUGCCCACCUUUUAAACAGGCAAGAAAUCUGUCUUAAAUUAUUUACACUAAAACAGCAUUCAUGAGAAAGGUGUGAAGAGCUGGCAUGGUUCCUAUAAAUAUAUAAAAGCAUAAUAUCUGAUAUAAAAUGCUGUUAUCAUUUUAACCUGUGAAGAUAAAGUGUACCUGAAACCUAGAAAUCCAGCAUGUCUGAAACAACUUAUUUUUCAUGAAUAUGACUAGAUAUCAUAAGCAAAUUAAAAUAAAACACUUAAUGAAACAAGCUGAAUAAACAAUAUGUAUUAAAUGUGAUCUCAUUCUUUUCUGGGAAGUAGGGCUAAGACUUUCAAAAAAUGCUUCAAUGUCAAUAUUAUAUCAACAGGCAUGCCUUAUAAGAAACAGGAAAAGAGUACUUUUCUUCUAUAUCAGUAUUCAUACAAUCUGUUUUAUUAAUUUAGCUGCUGUGAUGUCAGUUAAUUUCCUGUAGGCUAAUAUUUCCCGGAAAGCUAUUUUUUCCUUCUUGUUUUUCAUGUAGCCACUAAGAAUUAAAAAUAAUUCAUUUAAAAUGCAUUGGUAUUUGCUUUGCAAUAACAAUUGUACUUUAAAAUAUUUUUAAUUACUAUUAGAAUUAAAUCAGAAAGAUCAUGAAAUACUCACUCUGUAAGUACUACCUGCGCCACCUGGUGUUGAACAUCUUAAUAUCAAUGCUACAUUAACCUAUAGUGUAUUGCUCAAUUUUUGUUAGUCUGCAAUAAACACUG
ensembl:lncRNA